rnacentral:rRNA from 1 species
AAUACAUGCAAGUCGAGCGAGGAAAGUAGCAAUACUUUUCGAGCGGCGAACGGGUGAGUAACACGUUGGGAAUCUACCCCUGAGACCGGAAUACCUGGAAGAAAUUUCAGCUAAUGCCGGAUACGUGGUCAACACAGAAGUGAUGAUCAUAAAAGGCGGCCUUAAAGCCGCGCUGAGGGAUGAACCUGCGGCGCAUUAGCUAGUUGGUGAGAUAAAAGCCCACCAAGGCGAGGAUGCGUAGCCGACCUGAGAGGGUGAACGGCCACACUGGAACUGAGACACGGUCCAGACUCCUACGGGAGGCAGCAGUAGGGAGUAUUCGGCAAUGGGGGGAACCCUGACCGAGCAACGCCGCGUGAAUGAUGACGGCCUUCGGGUUGUAAAAUUCUGUGGCGAGGAACGAAUGGCAAGGAGAGGAAAUGCUCUUUGUUUGACGGUACCUCGCUAGAAAGCCACGGCUAACUACGUGCCAGCAGCCGCGGUAAUACGUAGGUGGCAAGCGUUAUCCGGAAUUAUUGGGCGUAAAGAGUGAGCAGGCGGUUUUUUAAGUCUGAAGUCAAAUCCUGUGGCUCAACCACAGUUCGCUUUGGAAACUGAAGAACUAGAGUGCGGGAGAGGUAAGCGGAAUUCCAUAUGUAGCGGUGAAAUGCACAGAUAUAUGGAGGAACACCGGUGGCGAAGGCGGCUUACCAGCCCGAUACUGACGCUCAGUCACGAAAGCGUGGGGAGCAAAUAGGCUUAGAUACCCUAGUAGUCCACGCCGUAAACGUUGAGGACCUGAUGCCGGAGUAUUUCGGUGUCGUAGCUAACGCGUUAAGUCCUCCGCCUGGGUACUACGUUCGCAAGAAUAAAACUUAAAGGAAUUGACGGGGGCCCGCACAAGCAGUGGAGCAUGUGGUUUAAUUCGUCGCUACGCGAAAAACCUUACCAGGGUUUGACAUCCCGCUAAAAGUCUUGGAAACAAGAUCAUAGUUGUAGCGGUGAAAGGUGGUGCAUGGUUGUCGUCAGCUCGUGUCGUGAGAUGUUGGGUUAAGUCCCGCAACGAGCGCAACCCUUGUCUCUAUUUGCCAUCAUUAAGUUGGGAACUAUAGAGAGACUGCCGGUGCAAACCGGAGGAAGGUGGGGAUGACGUCAAAUCAUCAUGCCCCUUAUGCCCUGGGCCACACACGUGCUACAAU